UAUCAAACUUAGUGGCGCACGGGUGCGUAACGCGUAUGCAACCUACCUUCAACUGGGGAAUAGCCCCUCGAAAGAGGGAUUAAUACCCCAUAGUAAUUAGAUAAGGCAUCUUAUUUAGUUUAAAGUUCCGGCGGUUGAAGAUGGGCAUGCGUGACAUUAGCUAGUUGGUGAGGUAAUGGCUCACCAAGGCUACGAUGUCUAGGGGUUCUGAGAGGAUGAUCCCCCACACUGGUACUGAGACACGGACCAGACUCCUACGGGAGGCAGCAGUAAGGAAUAUUGGUCAAUGGACGCAAGUCUGAACCAGCCAUGCCGCGUGAAGGAUGACGGCCCUAUGGGUUGUAAACUUCUUUUGUACGGGAAUAAACCCUUCUACGUGUAGAAGGCUGAAUGUACCGUAAGAAUAAGGAUCGGCUAACUCCGUGCCAGCAGCCGCGGUAAUACGGAGGAUCCAAGCGUUAUCCGGAUUCAUUGGGUUUAAAGGGUGCGUAGGCGGAUUUGUAAGUCAGUGGUGAAAGCCUGCAGCUCAACUGCAGAACUGCCAUUGAUACUGCAAGUCUUGAGUACACUUGACGUGGGCGGAAUGUGUCAUGUAGCGGUGAAAUGCUUAGAUAUGACGCAGAACACCGAUUGCGAAGGCAGCUCACGAAAUUGUAACUGACGCUGAGGCACGACAGCGUGGGGAUCAAACAGGAUUAGAUACCCUGGUAGUCCACGCCGUAAACUAUGAAUACUCGAUGUUGGCGAUAUACUGUCAGCGUCUA
rnacentral:rRNA from 1 species